AGAGGGGUGCAAGCGUUAAUCGGAAUUACUGGGCGUAAAGGGCGCGUAGGUGAAAGUUAAGUCAGAGGUGAAAUCCCUGGGCUUAACCUAGGAAUUGCCUCUGAUACUGGCUCUCUAGAGGACAGUAGAGGAAAGUGGAAUUUCCGGUGUAGCGGUGAAAUGCGUAGAUAUCGGAAGGAACACCAAUGGCGAAGGCAACUUUCUGGACUGUAACUGACACUGAGGCGCGAAAGCGUGGGGAGCGAACAGGAUUAGAUACCCUGGUAGUCCACGCCGUAAACGAUGAGAACUAGCUGUUGGUGGGUUAAUACCCAUCGGUGGCGCAGCUAACGCGUUAAGUUCUCCGCCUGGGGAGUACGGCCGCAAGGUUA
rnacentral:rRNA from 1 species